rnacentral:rRNA from 1 species
UUGGAGGGCAAGUCUGGUGCCAGCAGCCGCGGUAAUUCCAGCUCCAAUAGCGUAUAUUAAAGUUGUUGCAGUUAAAAAGCUCGUAGUUGAAUUUCGGGAUUGACGUGACGGUCAUGCCUUAAGGGGUAUGAACUGUUACUGUUGAUUUCUCACCUUCUGGAGAAACUUGAUGUCCUUUAUUGGGUGUCUUGCGGAUCCAGGACCUUACCUUGAAAAAAUUAGAGUGUUUAAAGCAGGCAUUUUUGCUCGGAUACAUUAGCAUGGAAUAAUAGAAUAGGACGGCAUGGUUCUAUUUUGUUGGUUUCUAGGAUCACCGUAAUGAUUAAUAGGGAUAGUUGGGGGCAUUAGUAUUCAAUUGUCAGAGGUGAAAUUCUUGGAUUUAUUGAAGACUAACUACUGCGAAAGCAUUUGCCAAGGAUGUUUUCAUUAAUCAAGAACGAAAGUUAGGGGAUCGAAGACGAUCGGAUACCGUCGUAGUCUUAACCAUAAACUAUGCCGACUAGGAAUCAGACGAUGUUAAUUUUUUAAUGACUCGUUUGGCACCUUACGGGAAACCAAAGUGUUUGGGUUC